UACAUGGGGUGCAAACGUUGCUCGGAAUUAUUGGGCGUAAAGCGCACGUAGGCGGUUUGUUAAGUCGGAUGUGAAAUCCCUCGGCUCAACUGAGGAAGUGCACCCGAAACUGGCAGGCUUGAGUACUAAAGAGGGUCGCGGAAUUCCCGGUGUAGAGGUGAAAUUCGUAGAUAUCGGGAGGAACACCGGUGGCGAAGGCGGUUCUCUGGGCCUUACCUGACGCUGAGGAGCGAAAGCAUGGGGAGCAAACAGG
rnacentral:rRNA from 1 species